rnacentral:lncRNA from 10 species
UGUAUUUUUAGUAGAGACCCUCUACAGUAGAGCACACCCUCGGAAAAGCCACGCUGCACUCACUAUCUCAGGACCAGCUUGGGUGUCCCUGAAGGGCAGAACAAAACCUUUCCAAAGGCAAAGCCUCACUAUCAAACAGAGAAGAGGCCAGUGAAUGACAAGAGCUGAUUGAAGAGUUUCGGUGGAAAACACCUCACUGGUUUAGACCAAGUCCCUUCAGGGGACUGGACUGGGAGUAAGCAGAGGCCAUGCUUCCUGCCUGGCUUGGCAGGAGUGAGGGGCUGCUGGACGCCCACGGGGUUGCUGGCUCUGGAGAGGGAACUGGUAGUGCUGGAGGGUGAUCCAGGGGGAGCAGUCCCCACCUCCACCAUUGCUCAACCACCCGCCUGCUUUCUGCUCAGCUUUCCCCAGAGGCCUGCUGGGGGCUUGCUGCGCAGCCGCAAACAAAAAGGCCUCUUUGUAGAUCCUCCCCUAGGACGCUCCGGAGGAAACAGCUCCCCUCGAAGCGGUAUUCAGCAUUCACGGCUGUCACCCAGGAGUCCCUGCUGGGUGCUGGGCCCAGUGCCGGGAGCUACAAAGAUUCUUGAUUAAUUCACCAUUUCCCAGCCAUUGGAAUAAGAAGUGCCUCUGUAGCAUUUGCUGGUGCUCACUCAGACAUCUGCCUUUAUUUUUGUGGACAAAGAAAAAUUUACAGGGUAUUGCCUGUACCAUCUGCCUGGGUCUCAGACUGAGGAUGACGAGGAGCAGAGUGGCAGCCAACUCAUAAUAGGCUGCACAGACUGCAUCCCAUGUUUAGAAAAACGUCAAAGGAAGGCUUCCGUUCUCGCCAGCACCCGGGAAAAGCAGCUCCCUUACAGUGCAGGCAUUGAAGGUAUCCUUGGAGAGCCUCAGACCUCUGAAGCUGUGCCCCAAGUUGUGUGUGAAGAAAGCAGAGAGCUGCCAGAUUCUACUUGGGAGGUGACAACAGACAACAUUUAAGAAUUUUGGUUCUUGCUGCCUUGCUUCUCUCCUCCUUCAGCCUCUGUCCUGCUGAGUAAGCCUGACACCUUUUCUAAAAACUUUGUUUUUAAAUAAAUGAUUGCCCCAUUGCCUGAACGAAAUGCACAGGUACCUUUUUCUCAACGAAAAUGGUCGAUGUUUAAAAUUCUCACAAUUGCUUCCAGAGCCUUCACCAUUUUACAAAGGUUUCAUUUUACAAAGGUUUAACUGUCUCCGGGGAGGACUCCCACGUCCCUUGCUGAGACGUGCCAUGGGGCCUGAAGAAUAAUGCUCCCUUUCUCAGGGAGCCGAGACACACCUGAGACGUGAAUAAACCAGUCCCAAUAAAAUCCCACUUGGGCUGAUGGCCAGCAGAUGCCUCUGGACCCAUUUCUCAGACACCGAAGACGAGGCACAGUGACUUGGCUUACACCAGCUAACAGCCCUGACUUGCUGGAGGGUGAGGAGCCUUCCUUCCAGGCCCUCACCUGGUGUCACUGCCUGGACUGGAGCAGUAAACUGGAACGUGCCACCAGGGAAAGGAAGCCACAGAUGGGGCGGGGCAGCUGCAGUAAUUGCUGACUUGUUUUGAUGCUGCGCAGGGCCCUAUUAACCCAUGAGUACGUUAUUGGCCCUCUGGUCUCUUAAUCUCUAAAUAAUAGGUAUGAUGCUAAUUACCUUGCAGAGUUUUGUUGCAAUGAUUUGAGAAAACAAAAGCAGCUCUAAUAAAAAACAGAGGUCA